AGUGAACGCUGGCGGUAGGCCUAACACAUGCAAGUCGAACGGCAGCACAGUAAGAGCUUGCUCUUACGGGUGGCGAGUGGCGGACGGGCGAGGAAUACAUCGGAAUCUACUUUUUCGUGGGGGAUAACGUAGGGAAACUUACUCUAAUACCGCAUACGACCUACGGGUGAAAGCAGUGGAUCUUCUGACCUUGCGCGAUUGAAUUAGCCGAUGUCGGAUUAGCUAGUUGGCGGGGUAAAGGCCCACCAAGGCGACGAUCCGUAGCUGGUCUGAGAGGAUGAUCAGCCACACUGGAGCUGAGACACGGUCCAGACUACUACGGGAGGCAGCAGUGGGGAAUAUUGGACAAUGGGCGCAAGUCUGAUCCAGCCAUACCGCGUGGGUGAAGAAGGCCUUCGGGUUGUAAAGCCCUUUUGUUGGGAAAGAAAAGCAGCAGGUUAAUACGCCGCUGUUCUGACGGUACCCAAAGAAUAAGCACCGGCUAACUUCGUG
rnacentral:rRNA from 1 species